CCUACGGGUGGCAGCAGUGGGGAAUAUUGCACAAUGGGGGAAACCCUGAAGCAGCGACGCCGCGUGAAGGAUGAAGGACUUCGGGAUUUAAACUUCUAUCAGCAAGGAAGCAAAUGUCUGUACCUGACUAAGAAGCUCUGGCAAAAUACGUGACAGCAACCGCGGUAAUACUUAGGGGGAAAGCGGUAUCCGGGUUUAAUGGGGUGGAAGGGAGCGUAGGCGGGUUAGCAAGUCAGAAGUGAAAGCCCGGGGCGCAACUCCGGGCAUGCUUUUGACACUGUUGAACUAGAUUGCAGGAGUGGUAAGUGGAAUUCCUAGUGUAGCGGUGAAAUGCGUAGAUAUUAGGAGGAACACCAGUGGCGAAGGCGGCUUACUGGACUGUAAAUGACGCUGAGGCUCGAAAGCGUGGGGAGCAAACAGGAUUAGAUACCCCUGUAGUC
rnacentral:rRNA from 1 species